AGUGAACGCUGGCGGUAGGCCUAACACAUGCAAGUCGAACGGAAAGGCCCUGCUUUUGUGGGGUGCUCGAGUGGCGAACGGGUGAGUAACACGUGAGUAACCUGCCCUUGACUUUGGGAUAACUUCAGGAAACUGGGGCUAAUACCGGAUAGGAGCUCCUGCUGCAUGGUGGGGGUUGGAAAGUUUCGGCGGUUGGGGAUGGACUCGCGGCUUAUCAGCUUGUUGGUGGGGUAGUGGCUUACCAAGGCUUUGACGGGUAGCCGGCCUGAGAGGGUGACCGGCCACAUUGGGACUGAGAUACGGCCCAGACUCCUACGGGAGGCAGCAGUGGGGAAUAUUGCACAAUGGGCGGAAGCCUGAUGCAGCAACGCCGCGUGCGGGAUGACGGCCUUCGGGUUGUAAACCGCUUUCGCCUGUGACGAAGCGUGAGUGACGGUAAUGGGUAAAGAAGCACCGGCUAACUACGUG
rnacentral:rRNA from 1 species